rnacentral:lncRNA from 1 species
AUGAGUCACUUUUUAAGAACUGAAACUCCCUCAGUGAUCAGCAAUGUUAUUACAAUUCAAAAACAACAGGAUAAGCUGCUAUCAACCUUCCCUCAGGCAAGAUGGCACCAGCAUUGUGCACCGCGCAUUCUGUCUGCUCUGUUCAGUUUACUAGUUUUCCUGUUUAUCCAGGUUUUUAGUCCUAGUGCCUCAGCUAUUUUAGUAUAUGAUCGUCAGUCCCUUUUACACAUUAAGGUAUCCUACAAAUUGUUACUUAAGCUGUCUUCCCUCUGCUAUUUUAAGUAUACCUGCCUACCUCCGCCACACGCCCUACACCACAACUCAGAGGAAGCGCACAAGGAGACAUGGAAUGGGAACCUGUGGGAUGUUCUCAGGCCUUCAGAGGUGAUCUCAGCCAAACAGAGGAAACAUCUGCUCUACUGCUGUUCUAAAUGCUCCAGAUCUACACAAACACACACACGCAUACAUAUACACACACACACACACACCACAUACAGUCUUAGAGGUUGUGCCUGCCAGAGGAAGAGUGUUAUUACAAAAAGCACACAUGCCUUUAUACUUACAUACACAUUAACACACACACAGAUGCUGCCUGUCUUCCUCUCAUCCUCAUCCUGUCACAACCACAGUGCAGUUUGUCCUCCAGCUCACCAUCCCUGCAUUCAGGACCUGCACUAACAGCUGCUCUGGCAGCUAAAUCUGAGUCCCAUGUUCUGUUUGUCUUUAUAUUGGUCUGUUUGUUCUCGUGUUUCCCUCUAUCUUGACAAGAAGUCCUUAAUCAGCAGAAUUGAGCCAGUGUUUUUUAACAAUUGCUCAAACAGGUUACCAAAUAUGUUGUUAUGUUGUAGCAAAACCUAAUUAUCACAAUGAGAGUCCUUAAUUUCUGUUAUUAGCGAGUAUUUAAGUAUUAAAGUAUUCCGCUUUGCUGCAAAACUUGCAUAUACACGUUUUCAUCAGAGGAGAUGGUGUUUUUCUGUGUCUGCCUCAGUCUUGUGAUUUUUCCUGAGCAUGCUCAUGAUGUUUUAACUAUUUUGUACAAAAAGAGCUGAAAGAAAUGCAAGACAUUCUUUAAAGUAAAAAUAUGUUGGUUGUUGCAACGUGCCUAAACAAAAGGCAUUUGAGCUGUGUCACUCUAGAUAUCCACUUCUAUUUUUAAUGCUUAUAUACCAGUAAAUUCAACCUAUAUUUUUCAGUUGAAGUCCAUUUUUCUGUGCAAAUAACACUUCCAAAAUGCGGGUGACUAACAACUCAACGCAGUGCUCGAACACCUCCUAUGUAGACACUGAGUGAGCACUGGAGCUGCUGAUGCUGCUCUGCUAACAUUGUGCACAUGUUACACCUACUAUGUAGACACAAAGAAAGUAACUGUCUAAAUGGCCUAUAUAUGCACCCCCAUCGACAGGUUGAUUGUUCCUUACUGCUAUACAAUACUGUUCCAAAAUAAUUCAUUUGAGGCGUUACUGAUCUGACUGGGUAAUGUGAACAGUCAUCUCCUGUGUCAAAGUAACAUCCAUUCACUCUUCUCCCUAACAGAUUU